rnacentral:rRNA from 1 species
CAGCCGCCGCGGUAAUGCAGAGGAUGCAAGCGUUAUCCGGAAUGAUUGGGCGUAAAGCGUGCGCAGGCGGUUAGAUAAGUCUGAAGUUAAAGGCUGUGGCUUAACCAUAGUACGCUUUGGAAACUGUUUAACUUGAGUGCAAGAGGGGAGAGUGGAAUUCCAUGUGUAGCGGUGAAAUGCGUAGAUAUCGGAAGGAACACCUGUGGCGAAAGCGGCUCACUGGACCAUUUCUGACGCUGAUGCACGAAAGCUAGGGGAGCAAACAGGAUUAGAUACCCGUGUAGUCCCUGUCUCUUAUACA